rnacentral:lncRNA from 1 species
CCCGCCCCCCCCCCCCCCCCCCCCCCCCCCCCCCCGCCGUGCGUGCGUGCCUCUGUGUGUGUGUGUGUGUGUGACUGUGUGUGAGGUGGGUCUUCCAAUGUACCCUUGCCCUGGUUUGACCUUGGAGGGGGCAGGUGGGCAGGUCCCCAAGCCUGGCAGAUGUAGACCUUUCCUAAUCUCUAGGGCAAAUUUGUUCUUCAGUGUUUCUAGUAUCAGUUUUAGAUCAAUCAUUAAUGGAAAGUUGCAAUAAAAACCUAAUCCUCUCAGGACUGGGCUGUAAAGGUCCCGGCUGAAACCUUGAAUAAACCCUUCUGUGGAGACCUCAAAACCGAGAGAGAGCGGUCUUGUGUCUGUAGCUGGAUCUGGAGGCAAAUGAAGGCACCAUUCAUCUCUAAUCAGUGGGCACAGAAAUGGACUUCAGUCACCUGAGUGGCUGUGGAUUCUUGCUUUACCUCCAGCUGCUGAUGAAGCUGCCUAUGCUCUGACUCCUGGACCACGUGGCAAAGCUGGGGAAAGAGGUUGUAGUCGGACCGGAAUGUGGGGGUCCGGGGGCACCUCCACAGGUGUGACAGGUGUGACAGCUGUGGUGUGGCUCUGGGGUCAGGCCUGAUGGCAGUGGACACAGGGCAGCCCCCUGGGCCCCCAGACCCAUAUACUGGAGGGAGUCCCUAUCCCUAGCUCAUUCCUGCUGACUUACCGCUGUGCGUGGCAGAUUGGUGCCUGAGAUGAAGGAGAGGCCCACUUCUCAUGAAGGGAAGAGAGGAAGCAGCUGCUCCUCCCCAAGGCCCAGCAGGGAUCAGAGGCCAUGGAACCCUCACUCCUUUCCAAGCUCCCUCAAAGAGGACAGGGUGGAUCUGCUCUUUGGGGCAUGAGGUCACAGGCUCCUGACAGGCUGUAGAAGCCAGAUCUAGGAGCUAGAAUCAACAGGGGUAAUGCGAGGUCCAGCACCAGGUCCAAGAAGCAAGGGCCCCCAGGCAGGGCACGGGAACCUGGUCAAAGCACAGCCUGGACCCACAGACUUAGAGGUUUAGUUGUCAGUAACCUCCGCAGGAACCACAACAAUGACUGUAUUAUCCAAGAGAGCCGACACGCUCACAUGGACAUUUCUAAGAUGUUCAGCCUCUGAGAAGCUGGGAGAGGCACUCAUUCUUUUCUCCAGCCCCUUCUGACUCAUUACUGGGACUGCUGUGCUACCAUGUUUUUAGACACACGGAAGAAAUGGGCAUUUUGAGAGAAGUGAAAGCCUGGAGGUGCAGGGGAGUUGAAAUUAGGUGUGAGAAAUUGUUCAAAGAACUGAUGUCCAGAACAGUGACAGACUUAUUCUGAGUGGCUCAAAGGGAGGAAGCAGCAUCACUGAGAACAGGGGAGAGAGAGAGAUGUGAGGAGGAGACUUCCAAUGGGUCCAAUGUGGUCUCUAAAGAUAGAUGUAUACAUAUAUAUAUAUAUAUAUUUUUUUUUUUUUUAAGAGAGAGAACAAGAAGGGAAUGAAAGAUACACACAAAGUUUAACAGCAGCUCUCUCUAGCUGGUUGCAAACGCUGGCACCUGGAGAAAAGAAGGAAAGUAAAUGACUGAGGCAGAGCAUGGAGGGUGGGCCUUCGGGCAAAGAAAGCCUGGCUGGAGAGCGAGUGACGAGUGCUCAUCGACUGCGAGUUCUUCAGAAGCCAGAGAGGUGAUUCUCUUGCAAAUGGGAUUCAGG